rnacentral:rRNA from 1 species
AGGGCACCACCAGGAGUGGAGCCUGCGGCUUAAUUUGACUCAACACGGGAAAACUCACCCGGCCCGGACACCGUAAGGAUUGACAGACUGAGAGCUCUUUCUUAAUUCGGUGGGUGGUGGUGCAUGGCCGUUCUUAGUUGGUGGAGCGAUUUGUCUGGUUAAUUCCGAUAACGAACGAGACUCUGGCCUAUUAAAUAGACGAUAUAUCUAUCUAGUAUAUCGCGCUUCUUAGAGGGACAAGCGGCGUCCAGCCGCAUGAAAUAGAGCAAUAACAGGUCUGUGAUGCCCUUAGAUGUCCGGGGCUGCACGCGCGCUACACUGAAAGAAUCAGCGUGCGUUUUACCUAGUUCGGAAGAGCCGGGUAACCCAAGUAAAUUCUUUCGUGCUUGGGAUAGGGAAUUGCAAUUAUUUCCCUUGAACGAGGAAUUCCCAGUAAAUGCGGGUCAUAAGCUCGCGUUGAUUACGUCCCUGCCCUUUGUACACACCGCCCGUCGCUACUACCGAUUGGAUGACUUAGUG